AUAGUACUCCCUCCGUCCGGAAAUACUUGUCGCGGAAAUGGAUAAAAGUGGAUGCAUCUAAAACUAAAAUACGACUAGAUACAUCCAUUCCUCCGACAAGUAUUUUCGGACGGAGGGAGUAGAUA
rnacentral:pre_miRNA from 1 species